rnacentral:rRNA from 1 species
CUUACGGGUGGCAGCAGUAGGGAAUAUUGCUCAAUGGGGGAAACCCUGAAGCAGCAACGCCGCGUGGAGGAUGAAGGUUUUCGGAUUGUAAACUCCUUUUGUUAGAGAAGAAAAUGACGGUAUCUAACGAAUAAGCACCGGCUAACUCCGUGCCAGCAGCCGCGGUAAUACGGAGGGUGCAAGCGUUACCCGGAAUCACUGGGCGUAAAGAGCGCGUAGGCGGGAUAACAAGUCAGAUGUGAAAGUCUAGGGCUUAACCUUAGAACUGCAUUUGAAAAUGUUAUUCUAGAGUAUGGGAGAGGUAGGUGGAAUUCUUGGUGUAGGGGUGAAAUCCGUAGAGAUCAAGAGGAAUACUGAUUGCGAAGGCGACCUACUGGAACGUAACUGACGCUGAUGCGCGAAAGCGUGGGGAGCAAACAGGAUUAGAUACCCGGGUAGUC